rfam:Hordeum vulgare subsp. vulgare, WGS project CAJW01000000 data, contig: morex_contig_138316
ACUAUCAAGCGGCGAAACCAUUUCCCAGGUUCUGGCCGGUCUCGAUCUUGAGUACAACCCGGCCGUGUCGGCCUUUGCUGCGCGGUUGGAGUCCGUGACUAUUCAAGAACUAUACACGCAACUGUUGAGCUUCGAUG